GUCGGCUGGAGCUGCGGUAGCUUCGAUAGGAAAGGUUGGCCCGGCAUGGGGUGGCAUGGCACAGCUCGGUAAAGUUCUGCUUCGGCGCAGUUCGGCACAGCGCGGCUCGGCUCAGCCCAGCAUGGCACAGCAGCGUUUGGCACCGUUCAGCGUGGCUAGGUAUGGUUCAGCACAGCUCAGCAAGGUUCAGCUCGGCAUGCCACAACUUAGCAUGAUUCGGCAUGGCCCAGCACAGCUCUGCAAGGUUUGGCUCGACAUAACACGGCACGGUUUGGCAUGGCUCUUAGCUGCACAGCUCAGCGUGGUUUAGCAUGGCUCGGCACUGCUUGGCACAGUUAGACGCAUUUUGGCACGGCUCAGCGUGGAUUCACACAACUCGGCUUGGCCCAGCAGGGCUCAGUUUGGUUUAGCACAGCUCAGCUUGUUGUGACCUAGCACAGGUCAGCUCAGCACAGCACAUCUCAGGCUGACCUGGCAGGGCUCAGGUCAGGUUGGGAUGUUUCAGCCUGGCACGGAACAGGAACUGGAAUGGACUCAAAAUCGGAGGUGAACUGAGAAGUGGAAGCAGAAAUACAAAUGUAACCAGAAGCAGACUGUGAACCGGAAGUGGGCACUGAGCCAGAAGUAAAACUGCAGCUGGAAGGAGAUGUGGAACCUAAAGAAAACGUGCGACUGGAAGUGGAACCAAACCCUGACUGAAGGAGCGAGAGUGAAUGGCUGGCCGGAAGUGACCUCAGAGCCGGAAGUUGAAUCGGAAGUGAACACAGAACAAAAGAGGAACUGGAAGUACAAAUGUAAUGGAAGCAGACAUGAAACAAGAAGUGGAAAUGUAACCCAAAGUAAAUUAGAACCGGAAGUGAUCGUGGAACUGGAAGUGAAAAGGGAAGGAAAUGCAGAACCAGAAGUGGAACCACAAUUGGAAGUGGAAGUAAAUGAGAAACCGGAAUUGAAAGUGGAACCAGAAGUAAAAGCGGAUUGGAGCAAAAAUGAAUCCAAAACCAUAAGUGGAACAUGAAGCCAAAAGUAGAAGAUGAACCAGAAGUGGAAAUUAAACCAGAAGAGGAAGUAUAACCCGAACUGGAAAUGGAACGGGAAGUUGAAGUGCAAUCAGGAGUUAAAAUGUAUUGCCUGUGUCAUACAGGCAAUGAGCUCUGGGCUGAGCGAGGUGGCUGCCUGAGGCCUCCAUAGGCAUGCCCUGGAGAUGCUGGAGUGCACAGUGCAUCCCCCGUCUCCAUGCACAAGCUUGUGUGGAGGCUGUUGCCGAGGCUCCAUGCACACCUCACAGCCUGUGGCAGAGCUGGAGCAGAGAGACCUCCUCAAAACACAGGGCAGCACUAUGGGUUUGGAUGUUCCUCCAGUGUCCCCAGUCAAUAUGGGGGGCCCCUCUCACUGAGUCAUGCACGGAUCUCACCAUUAGCUCCUCCACACACUUAUCCCCAUGUGCACACACAGUGUCCAGACCAUCUGAAAUAAACAGCACUUUAAAAAGGAACUAGAGAAGGGGCGACUCACACUGCAUCACCUUUGAUAGGAGUGGUGUGGUUGGUGUUACAGCUCUGACUCAAAGGGAAGCUCCUGAAGGGGGUACCAAGACAAGAAGAGCAGCUGUUGCUCACAGCAAGGAGAUGGGGGCCAGGCUGACUCUCCUGCCAUGAAUUUUUGGCAGGACACUCCAUUCUUGCAGCUUUACCUGGAUUCUUCCCUGGCAUGAAGACCAAUGUUAUAAAGCAGGCCGGGUGAUUUUUCAAGGAGCCAGCUCCAUGUACAUAGUUCAGACUCACUGCUCAAACUUCACAUGAGGAGUCGUAUAAAGGCUGUUUAUAAAAACCAAGGGGAUUUCUUUAUUUUGGUGCAGUGACAAGGACCUGGGACAGUAUGCAGGGGCUGCCUUGGAUGAGCAGCCUGGGUGACUGUGCUUGUUGCAAAGUAGACUAGCUCCAGUUAUUGCAGGGAAGGUGAUUAAUGAUAUAUAUAUAUGUGUACAUGUAUAUAUAUGCCCACAGUAAGCUUGAGGCUCUUUGCAAGUCAUUAUCGCCCAACCAGUUUGUCAUAUGUUCUUGGUUAGUUAGGCUUGGGGAUGGGGGGGAGAAGAAAGCAAUAGUGAAAAUAGAAAACAGAAAAUAAGACAGAAAAUAAAAGCAAGGGUUCAUUACAGGAAUGCAGAGAUAGUGACCACUGCAGUUUCACAUUGCAUGAAUCUGGAAGGCAGCAGGGAUGGGGAGUGCAACUUCUCAGUCAGCGAUGGGGUGUUCUGAGCAAAAAGGCAAACAACAAAAAAAGGCACAAAAGGGUUCAGGCGAAAAUGGGCCAAAAGGCAUAAAAAGGCAGUAGUCCUUUGUUUGCAAAGUCCUUAUAAAUGAUCCGGGCUUUCUCUGCUUUCACAAGCUAACAACACAUUUUGCACAUUCAACACUACUGCGCAGCCUUAUCUACUCCUGCGCAGCCAGGGCUCCUCAUCUUAGGGUCACUUCCAUCUAUCUCAGAAGCAGAACACGAGCUGGGACCUUCCCCUUAUCUUCGUUGCCUCUGGCAACCACGUGUAGGCAGCAGGGAGUCCUUUAGAGUCUCCCACAGGCCUCUCAAGCAACUUCUGAGACAAAAACCUUCUUUGUAUACACUCACAGGGCUGCAACACUAUCCUCAUGCAACAGCAGGCAUUGGUUUCUGUAAAACUCAAGAGGUGUAGGAACCUGGGCCAAAUCUAUUUUAUUUGUUUAGAAAUUACCCUACAUUUUUGAAAACAGCAGCCUUGCCUAUUAAAGUGAGAAUAUGAUCACUGGAGUGUAUUAUACAUAAAGAAGGAGCACGUUUUCCAAAAAAAGGGAAGGUUCCAUUUUACUUUUAGAUUGACACAAAAUUCUUUGAUUCAGCUAGAUGGAGCAAGGGAGCAAGCCGAAUAUUAAUUGUUUGGCAAAUUCUACGUUAAAUUGUAAUGCUUUGUACUGGUGAGCAUUUCACAUUUUAUCAUUUCAGUUAGACCAUCAUGAAUGCUAUCCCAAAUACCUCCCCAGCAGCUGGAUUUGUCAGUAAUGCAUGUCAGACCGUCUUAAAAAGACUUGAGCUGAUGAAACAGUUCAAUCCUAAAGGAUCCUGGGACUACCAGGAGAGAAGAUUGCUGCCAGAUCAUAGCUGUGCUGUAGAUUCAAAUGAAGAGUAAGUGGAAAAUAACGUUACCUAGAUGUAACUGAAAAUCCUACAAAUUUCGUUUGGAAUUGCUGCAAAGAUGGGAGACACUCACUGCAGGACAGUAUGAAAUUGCCUGGUUAUUGUAUUGGGGUUGUUGGUUUUUUUAAACAAAUAAACAAAACUUGGGAGAGAAUUAUCACCUUAUCACCUAUUCUUAGUCCAAAAAGGACUUAAAAGCACUGAACCUGGACAAACAGUCCUCAAGUGGAGAUGCAAAAAGGUAUGAGAGACACUGAGGGCUGGAGCCUUCUGUGAGCCCUCAGCACACACCACUACAAAGAGAAAGAUAAGCAGGAAUUUUGACAUUAGAUCACUGUGAUGAAGGUCUUACAUAUGUAAUGGCAGUGGUUCAGAGGGAGAUCUUAAAAUGUGACCAAUAGCUGAUUUAUCCUAAAUUAAAGAGGCUGGCUUUGUCUACAGCAAUCCUAGGGCUAUGCUGGGAACUUGAUGGAAUUUUAGUUGAUGUGCUAUCUUGUCUUCUCUGAUUAAAGAUGUAAACUAGAGGUGCUAAGGUUUCUAACAAAAGACUGAUUCAUUCGACACAUUCAGCUUAUUUCCUUCAUGUCUUUCUCUCAUCUUUUGAACACCAGAGGACAUCAGAGAAAGGACCUGGGAGGAAUGAAAUGUUACUGAUUGUUAUUCCUGAGGUGAUUUAUACCCGCUUGGGUGAGGGACAGGA